CGAACGCUGGCGGCGUGCUUAACACAUGCAAGUUCAACGAGAAAGUAUCCUUCGGGGUGCGAGUACAGUGGCGAACGGGUGAGUAACACGUGGGUAACCUACCCUCGAGAGUGGAAUAACCCUGCUAACGCGGGGCUAAUACCGCAUAAUGCAGCGGCACCACAUGGUGAUGUUGUUAAAGGCGGGGAUCCUUCGGGACCUGUCGCUUGAGGAUGGACCCGCGUUCCAUUAGCUUGUUGGCGGGGUAACGGCCCACCAAGGCUGCGAUGGAUAGCCGACCUGAGAGGGUGGCCGGCCACACUGGGACUGAGAUACGGCCCAGACUCCUACGGGAGGCAGCAGUGAGGAAUUUUGCGCAAUGGCCUAACGGCUGACGCAGCAACGCCGCGUGAACGAUGAAGCUCUUCUUGAGUGUAAAGUUCUGUUAGGAGGGAAGAACCGGCUGGUAGCUAAUACUUACUGGCCCUGACGGUACCUCCAGAGAAAGCGCCGGCUAACUUC
rnacentral:rRNA from 1 species